rnacentral:rRNA from 1 species
GCAGUCGAGCGCCCCGCAAGGGGAGCGGCAGACGGGUGAGUAACGCGUGGGAAUCUACCCUUUUCUACGGAAUAACGCAGGGAAACUUGUGCUAAUACCGUAUAAGCCCUUCGGGGGAAAGAUUUAUCGGGAAAGGAUGAGCCCGCGUUGGAUUAGCUAGUUGGUGGGGUAAAGGCCUACCAAGGCGACGAUCCAUAGCUGGUCUGAGAGGAUGAUCAGCCACAUUGGGACUGAGACACGGCCCAAACUCCUACGGGAGGCAGCAGUGGGGAAUAUUGGACAAUGGGCGCAAGCCUGAUCCAGCCAUGCCGCGUGAGUGAUGAAGGCCCUAGGGUUGUAAAGCUCUUUCACCGGUGAAGAUAAUGACGGUAACCGGAGAAGAAGCCCCGGCUAACUUCGUGCCAGCAGCCGCGGUAAUACGAAGGGGGCUAGCGUUGUUCGGAAUUACUGGGCGUAAAGCGCACGUAGGCGGACAUUUAAGUCAGGGGUGAAAUCCCAGAGCUCAACUCUGGAACUGCCUUUGAUACUGGGUGUCUAGAGUAUGGAAGAGGUGAGUGGAAUUCCGAGUGUAGAGGUGAAAUUCGUAGAUAUUCGGAGGAACACCAGUGGCGAAGGCGGCUCACUGGUCCAUUACUGACGCUGAGGUGCGAAAGCGUGGGGAGCAAACAGGAUUAGAUA